GAGUGGCGAACUGGUGAGUAACACGUGGGAAACCUGCCCAGAAGCGGGGGAUAACACCUGGAAACAGAUGCUAAUACCGCAUAACAACUUGGACCGCAUGGUCCGAGUUUGAAAGAUGGCUUCGGCUAUCACUUUUGGAUGGUCCCGCGGCGUAUUAGCUAGAUGGUGAGGUAACGGCUCACCAUGGCAAUGAUACGUAGCCGACCUGAGAGGGUAAUCGGCCACAUUGGGACUGAGACACGGCCCAAACUCCUACGGGAGGCAGCAGUAGGGAAUCUUCCACAAUGGACGAAAGUCUGAUGGAGCAACGCCGCGUGAGUGAAGAAGGGUUUCGGCUCGUAAAACUCUGUUGUUAAAGAAGAACAUAUCUGAGAGUAACUGUUCAGGUAUUGACGGUAUUUAACCAGAAAGCCACGGCUAACUACGUGCCAGCAGCCGCGGUAAUACGUAGGUGGCAAGCGUUGUCCGGAUUUAUUGGGCGUAAAGCGAGCGCAGGCGGUUUUUUAAGUCUGAUGUGAAAGCCUUCGGCUCAACCGAAGAAGUGCAUCGGAAACUGGGAAACUUGAGUGCAGAAGAGGACAGUGGAACUCCAUGUGUAGCGGUGAAAUGCGUAGAUAUAUGGAAGAACACCAGUGGCGAAGGCGGCUGUCUGGUCUGUAACUGACGCUGAGGCUCGAAAGUAUGGGUAGCAAACAGGAUUAGAUACCCUGGUAGUCCAUACCGUAAACGAUGAAUGCUAAGUGUUGGAGGGUUUCCGCCCUUCAGUGCUGCAGCUAACGCAUUAAGCAUUCCGCCUGGGGAGUACGGCCGCAAGGCUGAAACUCAAAGGAAUUGACGGGGGCCCGCACAAGCGGUGGAGCAUGUGGUUUAAUUCGAAGCUACGCGAAGAACCUUACCAGGUCUUGACAUACUAUGCAAAUCUAAGAGAUUAGACGUUCCCUUCGGGGACAUGGAUACAGGUGGUGCAUGGUUGUCGUCAGCUCGUGUCGUGAGAUGUUGGGUUAAGUCCCGCAACGAGCGCAACCCUUAUUAUCAGUUGCCAGCAUUAAGUUGGGCACUCUGGUGAGACUGCCGGUGACAAACCGGAGGAAGGUGGGGAUGACGUCAAAUCAUCAUGCCCCUUAUGACCUGGGCUACACACGUGCUACAAUGGAUGGUACAACGAGUUGCGAACUCGCGAGAGUAAGCUAAUCUCUUAAAGCCAUUCUCAGUUCGGAUUGUAGGCUGCAACUCGCCUACAUGAAGUCGGAAUCGCUAGUAAUCGCGGAUCAGCAUGCCGCGGUGAAUACGUUCCCGGGCCUUGUACACACCGCCCGUCACACCAUGAGAGUUUGUAACACCCAAAGUCGGUGAGGGUAACCUCUAGGAACCAG
rnacentral:rRNA from 1 species